rnacentral:rRNA from 1 species
CGCAAGAUUAAAACUCAAAGGAAUUGACGGGGACCCGCACAAGCGGUGGAUGAUGUGGAUUAAUUCGAUGCAACGCGAAAAACCUUACCUACCCUUGACAUGGUCGGAACCCUGCUGAAAGGUGGGGGUGCUCGAAAGAGAAACGAUACACAGGUGCUGCAUGGCUGUCGUCAGCUCGUGUCGUGAGAUGUUGGGUUAAGUCCCGCAACGAGCGCAACCCUUGUCCUUAGUUGCUACGCAAGAGCACUCUAAGGAGACUGCCGGUGACAAACCGGAGGAAGGUGGGGAUGACGUCAAGUCCUCAUGGCCCUUAUGGGUAGGGCUUCACACGUCAUACAAUGGUCGGAACAGAGGGCUGCCAACCCGUGAGGGGGAGCUAAUCCCAGAAAACCGAUCGUAAUCCGGAUCGUAGUCUGCAACUCGACUACGUGAAGCUGGAAUCGCUAGUAAUCGCGGAUCAACAUGCCGCGGUGAAUACGUUCCCGGGUCUUGUACACACCGCCCGUCACACCAUGGGAGUGGGUUUUACCAGAAGUGGCUAGUCUAACCGCACGGAGGACGGUCACCACGGUAGGAUUCAUGACUGGGGUGAAGUCGUAACAAGGUAACCGUA